rnacentral:rRNA from 1 species
AACGAACGCUGGCGGCAGGCUUAACACAUGCAAGUCGAGCGCCCCGCAAGGGGAGCGGCAGACGGGUGAGUAACGCGUGGGAAUCUACCCAUCUCUACGGAAUAACGCAUGGAAACGUGUGCUAAUACCGUAUACGUCCUUCGGGAGAAAGAUUUAUCGGGGAUGGAUGAGCCCGCGUUGGAUUAGCUAGUUGGUGGGGUAAAGGCCUACCAAGGCGACGAUCCAUAGCUGGUCCGAGAGGAUGAUCAGCCACACUGGGACUGAGACACGGCCCAGACUCCUACGGGAGGCAGCAGUGGGGAAUAUUGGACAAUGGGCGCAAGCCUGAUCCAGCCAUGCCGCGUGAGUGAUGAAGGCCCUAGGGUUGUAAAGCUCUUUCACCGGUGAAGAUAAUGACGGUAACCGGAGAAGAAGCCCCGGCUAACUUCGUGCCAGCAGCCGCCGUAAGAC